AUUGAACGCUGGCGGCAGGCUUAACACAUGCAAGUCGAGCGGAGAUGAGGUGCUUGCACCUUAUCUUAGCGGCGGACGGGUGAGUAAUGCUUAGGAAUCUGCCUAUUAGUGGGGGACAACGUUCCGUAAGGAGCGCUAAUACCGCAUACGUCCUACGGGAGAAAGCAGGGGACCUUCGGGCCUUGCGCUAAUAGAUGAGCCAAAGUCGGAUUAGCUAGUAGGUAGGGUAAAGGCCUACCAAGGCGACGAUCUGUAGCGGGUCUGAGAGGAUGAUCCGCCACACUGGGACUGAGACACGGCCCAGACUCCUACGGGAGGCAGCAGUGGGGAAUAUUGGACAAUGGGGGGAACCCUGAUCCAGCCAUGCCGCGUGUGUGAAGAGGGCCUUUUGGUUGUAAAGCACUUUAAGCGAGGAGGAGGCUACCUAGAUUAAUACUUUAGGAUAGUGGACGUUACUCGCAGAAUAAGCACCGGCUAACUCUGUGCCAGCAGCCGCAGUAAGAC
rnacentral:rRNA from 1 species